GUCCACGCUGUAAACGAUGAUUACUAGCUGUUGGCGAUACAAUGUCAGUGGCCAAGCGAAAGUGAUAAGUAAUCCACCUGGGGAGUACGUUCGCAAGAAUGAAACUCAAAGGAAUUGACGGGGGCCCGCACAAGCGGUGGAGCAUGUGGUUUAAUUCGAUGAUACGCGAGGAACCUUACCAGGGCUUAAAUGUAGACUGACUGAUCUGGAAACAGAUUUUCUUUUUAAGCAAUCUACAAGGUGCUGCAUGGUU
rnacentral:rRNA from 1 species